rnacentral:rRNA from 1 species
GACGAACGCUGGCGGCGUGCUUAACACAUGCAAGUCGAGCGGAAAGGCCCUUUCGGGGGUACUCGAGCGGCGAACGGGUGAGUAACACGUGAGUAAUCUACCCUUGGCUUUGGGGAUAACCACCGGAAACGGUGGCUAAUACCGGAUAUGACGGGCUCCGGCAUCGGGGUUCGUGGAAAGUUUUUUCGGCCAGGGAUGUGCUCGCGGCCUAUCAGCUUGUUGGUGGGGUAAUGGCCUACCAAGGCCUCGACGGGUAGCCGGCCUGAGAGGGUGACCGGCCACACUGGGACUGAGACACGGCCCAGGACUCCUACGGGAGGCAGCAGUGGGGAAUAUUGGACAAUGGGCGGAAGCCUGAUCCAGCAACGCCGCGUGAGGGAUGACGGCC